rnacentral:lncRNA from 1 species
UGCCAGUAUGUCCCUAGCAGUCUUCAUAUUUUCAUGCUGGCAUUGGAGUUCAUUUGCCAUGGAUGCCAUCAUAUAGCAUUUUACUCUAAUGUCAUCAUCUAACCACUUUUUAUGCAUCUCACGCUGAACAUCAGUAGGACGUGUUGGUAGUGUGGGGAUAUCUGAAUCGAGUAUGUAGCCUAUUUUCUCACAGUCCAAAACAAUUUUGAGAUUUCUAAGCCAGUCCUUGUAAUUGGUUCCGGUCAGUCGGUUGGUCUCAAGAAUACGGAUCAAAGGGUUUGAAGCUGACAUUGUAUCUGCAGAGAGUAAAGAUUCUAGUUAGACUUUUGUACUUGAUCCUAAUCUGUUCUAAGGUCUUUUAGAACAAAUGUAACUCCCACUAUUUUCUCGAAUCCCUCACACUCCCCUGGUAGGGAAACGGAAAUCCCACACGACUAGGGUUUCUAGUGGGUAUUGCGGUCCCACCGAUUUACAUGCCACCUCACCUAACAGUUAUUGGUGACACAUAGAUGGAUGAGUGUACAACUCUUGUACAAUGCUUCUCAAGCAUGGUGCAGUGUAACUUGGUCUCUAAGCCAUGAAGACCUCAC